CAAUAGCGUAUACUAAAGUUGUUGCAGUUAAAACGCUCGUAGUUGAAACGGUGAUAGCAAUUAUUCGGCUGCGAAAGCAUGUUGAAUAAUAACUAUCAUUUUCUCUCGUUUUCUAAUGAGAGACUAUUACUUUGAGGAAAUCAGAGUGCUCAAAGCAGGGAUACUAUGAAUGUCACAGCAUGGUAUAAUAAUAUAAGACUAAGGAAUACAAUUUAUUGUAUUUGAUUAGUAAUGAUUAAUAGGAACAGUUGGGGGCAUCCGUAUUCAUCAGUCAGAGGUGAAAUUCUUAGAUUUGUUGAAGACGAACUAGUGCGAAAGCAUUUGCCAAGGAUGUUUUCAUUGA
rnacentral:rRNA from 1 species